UGGGGAAUCUUGCGCAAUGGGCGAAAGCCUGACGCAGCGACGCCGCGUGCGGGAAGAAGGCCUUCGGGUUGUAAACCGCUUUCAGGAGGGACGAAGCCACUCGGGUCAAUAGCCUAGAGGGUGACGGUACCUCCAGAAGAAGCCCCGGCUAACUACGUGCCAGCAGCCGCGGUAAUACGUAGGGGGCUAGCGUUGUCCGGAUUUAUUGGGCGUAAAGAGCGUGUAGGCGGCCAGGUAGGUCUGGUGUGAAAACUCGAGGCUUAACCUCGAGAUGUCAUCGGAAACCAUUUGGCUAGAGUCCGGAAGAGGAAAGUGGAAUUCCUGGUGUAGCGGUGAAAUGCGCAGAUAUCAGGAAGAACACCAAUGGCGAAAGCAGCUUUCUGGGACGGUACUGACGCUGAGACGCGAAAGCGUGGGGAGCGAACAGG
rnacentral:rRNA from 1 species